rnacentral:rRNA from 1 species
GCAUGCCUACAACAUAGGGUUAAUGCACUGGAUCCCAUUAGAACUCUGCAGUUAAGUGCGCUCGGGCUAGAGUAGUACUGGGAUGGGUGACCACCCGGGAAGUCCUAGUAUUUUACAUGCC